rnacentral:rRNA from 1 species
UCCUUUUGUAAAAUAUUUAAGGUCUAGCCUGCCCCCUGAGAAAGUUAAAUGGCCGCAGUAUAUUGACUGUGCUAAGGUAGCAUAAUCAUUAGUUUUUUAAUUGAAAGCUGGAAUGAAGGGUUGGAUGAAAAAUUAACUGUCUCUUUAUAAUUUAAUUAGAAUUUUAUUUUUAAGUAAAAAAGCUUAAAUAUAAUUAAAAGACGAGAAGACCCUAUAGAGUUUUAUAUAAAAAUUAAAUUUUAUUUUUUAGAAAUUUAUAAUAUAAAAUUAAUUUUAUAUUUAAUUGGGGUGAUUAAAAAAUUUAAUAAACUUUUUUUUUAUAAAAAUAUAAAUAAAUAAAAAUUUGAUCCAAUAUUUUUGAUUAUAAGAUUAAGUUACCUUAGGGAUAACAGCGUAAUUUUAUUAAAGAGUC